rnacentral:tmRNA from 1 species
GGGGAUGACUGGUUUCGACUUGGACGGUUGUUCGAGGAGAAGCGGGCCGAGGACCCACACUCAUCUCGUGAACGAUGUGUGGAAACCAACAAGUGCCAAGAACAAUCGCACUGACUUCGCUCUCGCUGCCUGAUCAGCGAUCGAAGGGUCACGCCCGGGUUUGCCUUCGACCCGGUGCCUGGCCUCAUUCCAGAAGGCUUGCUGGACGACCUGCGUCGCAGGGGUCGUUCGGGACUUCACUGCGACUGGGCCCGGCUGCAACUUGCUGACGUGAGUGCAGGGGCUGAGUGGACCGACUAGUCAGCUGCGCCCGGAGAAGCCCUGGUUCGCCUUUCAAGGACGCGGGUUCAAUUCCCGCCAUCUCCACCC